CCUGCGGAGGGAUCAUUGCUGGAACGCGCCCCGGCGCACCCAGAAACCCUUUGUGAACGUAUACCUUUGUUGCCUCGGCGCAGGCCGGCCCCCCCGGGGGCCCCUCGGAGACGAGGAGAAGGCUCGCCGGCGGCCAAGUUAACUCUUGUUUUUACACUGCAACUCUGAGUAAAAAAAAACACAAAUGAAUCAAAACUUUCAACAACGGAUCUCUUGGUUCUGGCAUCGAUGAAGAACGCAGCGAAAUGCGAUAAGUAAUGUGAAUUGCAGAAUUCAGUGAAUCAUCGAAUCUUUGAACGCACAUUGCGCCCUCUGGUAUUCCGGAGGGCAUGCCUGUUCGAGCGUCAUUUCAACCCUCAAGCCCUGCUUGGUGUUGGGGCGCUGCCUCGAGAGGGGCAGGCCCUGAAAUCUAGUGGCGGGCCCGCCUGGACCCCGAGCGUAGUAGUUAAACCCUCGCUCUGGAAGGCCCUGGCGGGUGCCCUGCCGUUAAACCCCCAACCCCUUGAAAUUUUGACCUCGGAUCAGGUAGGAAUACCCGCUGAACUUAAGCAUA
rnacentral:rRNA from 1 species